GACGAACGCUGACGGUGUGCUUUAGACAUGCAAGUCGAACGAGAAAGCCCUUCGGGGUUAGUAAAGUAGGCGAACGGGUGAGUAACACGUGGGCAAUCUGCCCCUCGCAGGGGGACGAACCGGAGGAAACUCCGGCUAAUACCCGUAAGUUCAAGGGAGGCAUCUCUCUUCGAAGAAAGGUAGCUUCGGCCAUCCGGCGAGGGAUGAGCCCGCGGUGCAUUAGCUAGUUGGUGGGGUAACGGCCUACCAAGGCGACGAUGCAUAGCUGGUCUGAGAGGAUGAUCAGCCACACUGGGACUGAGACACGGCCCAGACUCCUACGGGAGGCAGCAGUCGGGAAUCUUGCGCAAUGGACGAAAGCCUGACGCAGCAACACCGUGUGUGUGAGGAA
rnacentral:rRNA from 1 species